rnacentral:rRNA from 1 species
ACGCACGCUGGCGGCGUGCUUCACCCCUGCAAGUUGAACGGAAAGGCCCUGCUUUUGUGGGGUGCUCGAGUGGCGAACGGGUGAGUAACACGUGAGUAACCUGCCCUUGACUUUGGGAUAACUUCAGGAAACUGGGGCUAAUACCGGAUAGGAGCUCCUGCUGCAUGGUGGGGGUUGGAAAGUUUCGGCGGUUGGGGAUGGACUCGCGGCUUAUCAGCUUGUUGGUGGGGUAGUGGCUUACCAAGGCUUUGACGGGUAGCCGGCCUGAGAGGGUGACCGGCCACAUUGGGACUGAGAUACGGCCCAGACUCCUACGGGAGGCAGCAGUGGGGAAUAUUGCACAAUGGGCGGAAGCCUGAUGCAGCAACGCCGCGUGCGGGAUGACGGCCUUCGGGUUGUAAACCGCUUUCGCCUGUGACGAAGCGUGAGUGACGGUAAUGGGUAAAGAAGCACCGGCUAACUACGUG